GACGAACGCUGGCGGCGUGCUUAACACAUGCAAGUCGAACGGAAAGGCCUUUUCGGAGGUACUCGAGUGGCGAACGGGUGAGUAACACGUGGGUGAUCUGCCCUGCACUCUGGGAUAAGCCUGGGAAACUGGGUCUAAUACCGGAUAGGACCGCAUUUUAGUGUGUGUGGUGGAAAGUUUUUUCGGUGUAGGAUGAGCCCGCGGCCUAUCAGCUUGUUGGUGGGGUAAUGGCCUACCAAGGCGGCGACGGGUAGCCGGACUGAGAGGUUGGUCGGCCACAUUGGGACUGAGAUACGGCCCAGACUCCUACGGGAGGCAGCAGUGGGGAAUAUUGCACAAUGGGCGCAAGCCUGAUGCAGCGACGCCGCGUGGGGGAUGACGGCCUUCGGGUUGUAAACUCCUUUCGCCAGGGACGAAGCGUUUUGUGACGGUACCUGGAGAAGAAGCACCGGCUAACUACGUG
rnacentral:rRNA from 1 species